UACGAAGGGGGCUAGCGUUGCUCGGAAUCACUGGGCGUAAAGCGCACGUAGGCGGAUCUUUAAGUCAGGGGUGAAAUCCUGGAGCUCAACUCCAGAACUGCCUUUGAUACUGGGGAUCUCGAGUCCGGGAGAGGUGAGUGGAACUGCGAGUGUAGAGGUGAAAUUCGUAGAUAUUCGCAAGAACACCAGUGGCGAAGGCGGCUCACUGGCCCGGUACUGACGCUGAGACGCGAAAGCGUGGGAGCGAACAGG
rnacentral:rRNA from 1 species